GACGAACGCUGGCGGCGUGCUUAACACAUGCAAGUCGAACGAUGAAACCUAGCUUGCUAGGUCGAUUAGUGGCGAACGGGUGAGUAGCACGUGACUAACCUGCCCCUUUCUCUGGGAUAACGCUCCGAAAGGAGUGCUAAUACCGGAUACUCUCAUCGAGGCACAUGCCUUGAUGUGGAAAGUUUUUCGGAAAGGGAUGGAGUCGCGGCCUAUCAGCUUGGUGGUGAGGUAACGGCUCACCAAGGCGACGACGGGUAGCCGGCCUGAGAGGGCGACCGGCCACACUGGGACUGAGACACGGCCCAGACUCCUACGGGAGGCAGCAGUGGGGAAUAUUGCACAAUGGGCGCAAGCCUGAUGCAGCGACGCCGCGUGAGGGAUGAAGGUCUUCGGAUUGUAAACCUCUUUCAGUAGGGACGAAGCGAAAGUGACGGUACCUAAAGAAGAAGCACCGGCUAACUACGUGCCAGCCGCCGCAGUAA
rnacentral:rRNA from 1 species